UACGUAGGGGGCUAGCGUUGUCCGGAUUUAUUGGGCGUAAAGAGCGUGUAGGCGGCCAGGUAGGUGGGUUGUGAAAACUGGAGGCUCAACCUUCAGACGUCGACCCAAACCCCCUGGCUAGAGUCCGGAAGAGGAGAGUGGAAUUCCUGGUGUAGCGGUGAAAUGCGCAGAUAUCAGGAAGAACACCCGUGGCGAAGGCGAGUCCCUGGACAACACCUGACACUGAGGCACGAAAGCUAGGGGAGCAAACAGG
rnacentral:rRNA from 1 species